UAGGACAUGGGCAGCCAACUGAUGAAUGGAACCCUAAAGAAAAAUAACUCUCCCUCCCUCAACUGCCAAAAGUUCCCUAUCUAGACACAGCUCUCCAAUUCAAAGACCUCCAACGAAUCAAUUGUGUUGCUAGACCUGUUUCACGUAUUUCUUUUUGAAAAAUUUUCUUCACUAUUUCAAAAUGCUUUAACUUGGACGAGGCUCUGCGUGUUGUUGGUGUGUUCCUUCUAACUGAUCUCCUCCGUGGACAAAGAUUUUCUGAUUAUCUUCUGUUUCACAUGAAAAAAAAAAUCUACUCUCAGUUUCUCAGCCUCCACAGGAAUCAUUCAAGAAUGCGUAGCACAAAGAAUCAUCCCUCAACUUCAUCCUUGUGUCUCUACUCUAAUGUACAUCAGCGGAGUGAUGACAUGCAGGGUCAUAUUUCAUCAGCACAUGUCUCUCUCCUAAUGUAUUGGGCUCCAUGCCAUCACUUUUAGACUGACACAAAAUUCCUGGUGAGUGAAAACUCAUAAAUAAUAUUACAAUUAAAAAUAAAAGAUUACUUAUGGAGUAGCAAGUA